UCGGGAAUUUUGGGCAAUGGGGGAAACCCUGACCCAGCAACGCCGCGUGAAGGAUGAAGUAUUUCGGUAUGUAAACUUCGAAAGAAUAGGAAGAAUAAAUGACGGUACUAUUUAUAAGGUCCGGCUAACUACGUGCCGGCAGCCGCGGUAAUACGUAGGGACCAAGCGUUGUUCGGAUUUACUGGGCGUAAAGGGCGCGUAGGCGGCAUGACAAGUCACUUGUGAAAUCUCUGGGCUUAACCCAGAACGGCCAAGUGAUACUGUCGCGCUAGAGUGCAGAAGGGGCAAUCGGAAUUCUUGGUGUAGCGGUGAAAUGCGUAGAUAUCAAGAGGAACACCUGAGGUGAAGACGGGUUGCUGGGCUGACACUGACGCUGAGGCGCGAAAGCCAGGGGAGCAAACAGGAUUAGAUACCCGGGUAGUCCCUGAGCGGGCUGGCAAGGCGCAU
rnacentral:rRNA from 1 species